CGGCUAAUGUGCAUGAUGUGUGUGUCAUGGCCCAUGGCUAGCCUUGUUAGUGGAGAUUUUUCAGUUUAACCUUAGGAUACAUAUUCAGCCCUGUCGCUGGCCCAGGGCAACUGGGGCGACCGCCCUGGGCCCCCAAAAAAAAAGCCCACGUUGCUGAAAUGAAGGACUGAAGUUUGAAGGCCCUAAAUAAAAAUAAAAAAAUUAAAAAAAAAAAAAAAACUUUAAAGAAGCGUAUAUUUCUUUCCCCUGACUUUCAAAUGCAAAUCCCUAAAAUCAUAAAUUAAGAUAUUCAAAGAAACGAUUUCUUUCCUAAUAUUCAGACAAUCUCCUCAACUUCUUUCCCCUAAUUUUCGGCCAUAAUAUUCUCUUUCCAAAGUAAUUUGAUUUCUCCAAAAAAAAAAACGUUCAAUCUUCAAUCUAAUCCCCAAGAUGUAUUUGUAUACAAUUUUCAAUUUCAGUCAGAUGAAUUGGGGUUGUUUCGAGAAUCGAGAUUCAAUUGAAGAGGAAAACGAUCAAAAACGCUGUUUCCGAGUUGAAGAACAAUCAGAAGUUGGGGAAAAAAAUUGGGAAAAAAAAUUCAAUUAAUUGGUUGAGUUUGGUUCCUUGGUGAAACAAUGGCUUCCGACUUCCGAGUUUCAGAUUAAUUGGUUGAUUUUCAACGAAUUUCAGAUUUGAGAUAUUAUUUGGAAUGCAAUUGUUCAAAUUGAGGCAUUGAGCAGAAUUUGGUGUUAAAUCUUCAAUUAUCAGGUGUUUUUGCUCUUUUUUUAUACUUUUAUUAAUUUUCAUUAUUUCAUAUAAUGUUGCCUAGAAGAUAUUUAUCUGGUAAUGAUAAGAGGAAAAAAACAAAAAGAGCUGAAGAGUUAAUAGAAUCUCAAAAGGGUUCCAUUGACAAAUUUUUUACUAAAGUAGUACAAGUAGACGAGUCAUCUCAUGAAUUGGGGGAAAAUGAAAAUCAUGAAUAAGCUAAUGAGGACUUAAACAAUGUUAAUAAUGCCAAUGACCCGAAUGAGAAUGCGACUCAUAUGAAAGAACCAAUGGAUGCACCAAAUGCAUCCAAUGUUAAUAAUAUAGGCAUUGAUGAACAAGUAGUCCCUCCUUUCGAUUUUUAUGAUCCUAAUAAUUGGGGUAAUCUUGACAAUAAAGGGAGGGAUAUUUUAAUUGAAAAAGGACCCAUAAGAGACUUGAACCUUGUGUUUCCAAUUGAUGACAAAUUAAUUGAAAAAGGACCCAUAAGAGACUUGAACCUUGUGUUUCCAAUAGGGCCCCAAUUUAUAUCUUUGCCUCGGGCCACUAAAAUCUCAGAAACGUGGCUGUACAUAUUUAAUUGUUGGAAGCAUGAAGGAAGAAAAAUAUGUGAACAAAUAUUUUAGAGAUAUAAAUGUUCGCAAGCUAUUCUUUUCUUUUUUAAAAAAAAAAAUAAAAAAUUAACAUUCGCAAGCUAUUCUUAAGAGUUUUAAAAAGGGGGCAUGUAACAUUAAUGAUGACAAAUAGGUAAAAAAAAAUAAAAUAAAAUAAAAAAUUAAAUGAUAUAAUUGUACAAAACUUGUCAUGUCAUCUAAUUUUAUUGUAUACUAAAAUGUAACCAUUAUAUUUAGUUUAUGAAUAUAGAUGACAUGACACAUAUUAAGACUUAAGUGUCAUUUAGUGAUUUAUUGUACACUCAACUACCUAAAAUACUCUCAUAUUUUUCUAUUUAUAUUGGAACAACUACCAACAAUAAUUCGAAUUUUACUUCAUUCAUCAAAAUAAUCCCAACUAUCGAUUAUUUUUGGGAAAUUCUUAAUGGUGAUCCCCAAAUUCUGCUACACACCAAUGGUGACCUCUGUAAACACCUAAACAUGUCUCCCCAAAACCAAAACCGAUGAUGAACAUCCUUUCACCGUCAUUAUUGGGCGGGUCGAGUAUUUAAUUUCGGGAGUGCUUAAAACCCAUGUUCUGUCAAACAUAUUCAAUCUACAAAUCAGUCCAAGCAUUUAUUCAAACUCAGUCCAACUCACAUUUUAGCCCAAACCCUUUUUAAUUCAUUUCAUGUUAUUUAUUAAUUUAGCCCGGUUUAUCUAAAUAAGCUCGAAACUCUGAAAAGACACCUAAAAAUCACAUACUUAAUGAUUAAGAAUUAGGGUUAAAAUGAAUCUGGACGGAUUUAGGGCAGAAACGGACACCGUGUCAUGGCAAACAUACCGCGUGACGGUAUUGUAUACCGUGUCACGGCAUCCUGCACCGUGUCAUGGCACACAUGCCGUGACGCGGCGUUCAACUAGGGUUUUUCCACGGCGUCUUAUCAUUUCUAGGGUUUUGUGCAUCACUCUACUCAUUCCCUCUACAAAUACGAGGCUGAUUUCCUCAAUUUCGGGGCACCAAAAAUCAUUCUCUCUCUCCUUACACCAACAAUCAUUAUCUUCUCUCUUUAGCCUACAUACUAGCCACCCUAUUCUCUCAUAAUACUUCCCCUAAGCACUCUAAGGAGUCCAUACCUGACCCGAAGUUCUAUACUUAAACCAAGGCGUGAAAGGUAGAAUUAACUAAGGGUUUGGACCAAAUCAACUCCACUU